GACGAACGCUGGCGGCGUGCUUAACACAUGCAAGUCGAACGAUGAACCCGGAGCUUGCUCCGGCGGAUUAGUGACGAACGGGUGAGUAACACGUGAGUAACCUGCCCUUGACUCUGGGAUAACUGCUAGAAAUGGUAGCUAAUACCGGAUACGACCCUCGGCGGCAUCGCCAGGGGGUGGAAAGAAUUUCGGUCAAGGAUGGACUCGCGGCCUAUCAGCUAGUUGGUGAGGUAACGGCUCACCAAGGCGACGACGGGUAGCCGGCCUGAGAGGGUGACCGGCCACACUGGGACUGAGACACGGCCCAGACUCCUACGGGAGGCAGCAGUGGGGAAUAUUGCACAAUGGGCGAAAGCCUGAUGGAGCGACGCCGCGUGAAGGAUGAAGCUUUUCGGAGUGUAAACUUCUUUUAUGUGGGAAGAUUAUGACGGUACCACAUGAAUAAGGACCGGCUAACUACGUGCCAGCAGCCGCCGUAA
rnacentral:rRNA from 1 species